GCGUCCUUAGUUCAGUUGGUAGAACGUAGGUCUCCAAAACCUAAUGUCGAGGGUUCAAAUCCUUCAGGACGUG
rnacentral:tRNA from 1 species